GGGAAAUAAGUAUCACAACUUUGGUUGAACUUGGUCUGGUCUCAGAUUUACCUGAUGGUCACCACUCACAGUUCCCGCAGAGCCCAGAGAUUUCUCCUUGAAGGAAAGGUUCUGGAAAAUCAGAGGGAUAAAUAAAGAAUGCAGCUGAUUCCCGCCUUGUGCUGACGCCCAAGAGGGUGAGGAGAGCCACGAGGCAUGUGGGAUCUUAGCUUCCUGCCCAGGGAUCAAACCGGCACCCCCUGCGUUGGAAGGCGAAGUCUUAACCACU